rnacentral:tRNA from 2 species
GGGAGAAUGGCCGAGUGGUUAAAAGCGACAGAUUGUAAAUCUGUUGAUAAAUGUCUUCGUAGGUUCGAAUCCUGCUUCUCCCA